rnacentral:rRNA from 1 species
AACGAACGCUGGCGGCAUGCCUAACACAUGCAAGUCGAACGAAGCCUUCGGGCUUAGUGGCGCACGGGUGCGUAACACGUGGGAAUCUGCCCUUCGGUUCGGAAUAACAGUUAGAAAUGACUGCUAAUACCGGAUGAUGACGUAAGUCCAAAGAUUUAUCGCCGAAGGAUGAGCCCGCGUAGGAUUAGGUAGUUGGUAGGGUAAUGGCCUACCAAGCCGACGAUCCUUAGCUGGUCUGAGAGGAUGAUCAGCCACACUGGGACUGAGACACGGCCCAGACUCCUACGGGAGGCAGCAGUGGGGAAUAUUGGACAAUGGGCGAAAGCCUGAUCCAGCAAUGCCGCGUGAGUGAUGAAGGCCUUAGGGUUGUAAGGCUCUUUUACCAGGGAUGAUAAUGACAGUACCUGGAGAAUAAGCUCCGGCUAACUCCGUGCCAGCAGCCGCGGUAAU